UCUCUGUCUGAAAACGUACAAAGGAAGAAAGCAGAUUUGUUUUGGAUGUCUGAGUAUGAUAUGUUGAGUUGGUUCUUCAAGGAGGAGAUUCAUGCUUUAGCUAGAUUUAUUGAAACAGGAUGGACAUUAAGACAGAAAACAUUGUUUCCUACAUAAGAACACAAUCCUUUCAUUUGUAUAUUUUGAUUUAUCUUGUUGUUGUUGUAUAAGUUGAUGGAUACACGAGACUUGUUCUUGGUUUUCUGGUUUUUCUUUUUCUGUUUGCCAUCUUUGAAUUGUCUAGAUUUAUAUUGUAUAGUGUCUUGUAAGCCCAUGUGGACAUGACACUGAAAUUAACAAAUCAAUCAAUCUAAAAGAGAAGAAUGUUCACAUGGCUUCAUAAAUCUGAACCUUUCUCAGUGUAGAACAAAGUGUGUAUGAGAGCCAUGUAAUGUCCAUGUUAGCAUGACGGUGCUGCUCUGACCCCCCUCCUCCUUUCAGGGUGGAGCCUGCUGGAGAACCAUGGUUGAGACCAGGAGGUGUGAGGAAGUAUUCCUGUCCACUCACUAUCGACAUGAACACAAUGAGCAGAAGACUCAAACUGUCUGACAGCAACAGGAAGGUGACAUGUGUGGAGGAGUUUCAGUCAUAUCCUGAUCAUCCAGACAGAUUUAACUGUCUUCAGCUGCUGUGU